AGCGAACGCUGGCGGCAGGCCUAACACAUGCAAGUCGAACGAAGUCUUCGGACUUAGUGGCGGACGGGUGAGUAACACGUGGGAACGUGCCUUUAGGUUCGGAAUAACUCAGGGAAACUUGUGCUAAUACCGAAUGUGCCCUUCGGGGGAAAGAUUUAUCGCCUUUAGAGCGGCCCGCGUCUGAUUAGUUAGUUGGUGAGGUAAAGGCUCACCAAGGCUACGAUCAGUAGCUGGUCUGAGAGGAUGACCAGCCACAUUGGGACUGAGACACGGCCCAAACCCCUACGGGAGGCAGCAGUGGGGAAUCUUGCGCAAUGGGCGAAAGCUUGACGCAGCCAUGCCGCGUGGAUGAUGAAGGUCUUAGGAUUGUAAAAUCCUUUCACCGGUGAAGAUAAUGGCUGUAGCCGGAGAAGAAGCCCCGGCUAACUUCGUGCCAGCAGCCGCAGUAACAC
rnacentral:rRNA from 1 species